GCGAGGCCGAAGAGCACGAAACCCACGCUGAGUCCCAUUGCCCCAGCCAGGUACACCGGCACCAGCACCAACAACCGCCGCCCAAACGAAGUCAGCACCGCCAGGGCCUCACCCGCCGCGCCUGGGCCGAUAAUCAGACCCUCCUACUGAAGACGGUACAUGGGGCACAAAAAGCUCAUCCUCAGGAAUGUCUCUUCUCAGCUGGGUCCCAGGAGCCACACAAUCAGCAGCUGCAAUGCACCAGAACCAGUAAACUGGCAGGUGAGAAAGAGGAAAACAGCUCCUGACAUCUGGGAACUGGCCUGACAGAGCUAGGCUUCGGAGUUCUAAGGGGCUGACCUGGGCUCACAGUGGUGGGCCCUGCCUCCUGGAUUUCCAGGCCAAGCCAAGGUAACGAAUGCUCCCCUAGUCUUUGGGCUGGAGUACUAUGGUCCCCACCUUCCCACGGGCCCGGGAGCAGUUCCUGUAUUGUCCAACUCAACUGGGUC